rnacentral:snRNA from 1 species
GGACAUGAGGAUAAUCUGACUGCGACUUGUCACCCGUCCAUUGUCAGGGUUGAUUCGGCGGGUGUCCCCUUCCUCCCUCCCUGCUCCAUGUGCAUUCCUCCUGAAGCUGUGUACUCAGUCAAAGAGAACAACCUUCCCCAAAUAGAGGAGAACUUGUCUUCAGUCAAGGGUAUAAGAGUAGCUGCGCUCCCCUUCUAGAACCUCCCAACAAGCUCUCAAAAGAAGGGGCAGACUGAUCAGAACAGGAGUUUAGAAGUAAGGAAAAGGCAUGGGAGAUGGCUUAGCCACUUUUGCAUUAUAGGGAGUAAUAUGGUGCUAGU